UACGUAGGGUGCAAGCGUUGUCCGGAAUUAUUGGGCGUAAAGAGCUCGUAGGCGGUUUGUCGCGUCUGCUGUGAAAACUCGGGGCUUAACUCCGGGCCUGCAGUGGGUACGGGCUGACUAGAGUGCGGUAGGGGAGACUGGAAUUCCUGGUGUAGCGGUGAAAUGCGCAGAUAUCAGGAGGAACACCGGUGGCGAAGGCGGGUCUCUGGGCCGUAACUGACGCUGAGGAGCGAAAGCUAGGGGAGCAAACAGG
rnacentral:rRNA from 1 species